rnacentral:lncRNA from 1 species
CGGUGCAAUUUAUAUGAUUCUACAAUUAAAGCUGAUAGGUGAUAAGUGGAUUUUACAUCCACUUGGAAGCCUUCAUUUAUGCUUAAAUUGAUGGAUCGUUCUCAAGUAUGUGGUAUUUUUUAUGUGUUUUUGUGUUGAUGUGUGUAGAGAACCUAGAUGGAGGGAGGAUGGACUUUUCCAGGCUUAUACGGUGAAUUGGAAGUCGAGAAAUAAAGCGAAAAGAAAGAAAAUCACCAGCGCCCUAAAGCGGCUGAGCUGCGCCCUGGGGGCAGCCUUGGAGCGCGCCCGAGCUCUCCCGAAGAUGGAAAAUUCAGUUUUUGAAGCCCGUUUAGAUUAGCUGCUGACCCGGUCAACUUAGGGCACUUAAAUACAAAAUAUACAAGGAAGAAAAAGCCCGAAGCAAUAACCAAGAUUCAUUCCAAGGAGCACGUGACGGCUACGGAGAAGAGCUAGAUUCAUAGUUUUCUUUUGUGUUCUUCCAAUUAGGCGAUACUUUUGGAUGCUCAUUCGGAUUUGUUUCGAAACUCUUGUUUUACUCUUUUGACUUUGUGUUUCCUAUUCAGUACCAUGUUUACAUUCGAACCCAUGAUGAUGAGAAGUUCGAUUAUGAACUAAUCAUUGUCAUGGGAUUUUAGCGGAUUUAUCGAUGAAUUUCAGUAGUUAAUUUGUCUUGUUCAUAUGUGAUGGUUUGAUUUCCUCGUAUUGGUUGUGCUUAUUCGUCUUGGAUGCGUAGCUAACAUCUAAGAUUGCUUGUUAAUCUUUAUUGAAGCGACAGUGAAUAUAUUGAUUUAGAACUUGCCAUGCGAGCAUAGGUUUCGUGUUCGAUAACAUGACUUGUGAUGUGAUUUUACCCAUCUUGCAUCGCCCUAUGUAAUCUUGAUAGAUAACUUGCUCUUCAACCGUUAUGUUUUCAAAUUCUAUAGACAUAUAGGGUCUAAGCAUAAUUGGUGUCUGUUUACCUUCUAUCUUAAUUGUGGAUGUGUAGCAGUAUGGUGCACGUAUAACGACAAUUAGCGUGUAUCAGUCUCGUGUUAUCUGAUUAGCUAUCAACCAUUACAAUCGAAUAAAGGCAUAACUCUGAAUGAAGUUGUUAAUGAAGCUAGAAUCCCAUGUUUUAUUUUUAUUAGUAAAUCGUUAUUCUCUUAGUUUAUAAUUCUUAGUUUCAUAAUUCAAUUCGAAUUAGUUAAGUAGAAAACCAAAACCCAAUUGGAUACUUGUCUAAGCAUUGAAUAAUAAUCAUACAUUGGUGCAUAAGUGCAUAUUUCUUGAAUACACCAGUCUCUGUGGGAACGAACUGAAUUAUAUUCUAUACUACUUGUGACCACGUACGCUUGCGUGAUUUUGUGCGAACAAUAGGAAAUAUUUAUCUUGGAUUAAAAAAAAUCAUAAACAUGUGAAAGACAGAAUUUGUUUUGGAUUCAGAAAAACAAUUAUAAACAUGCAUAUCAGUUGCCUUAUAGAAUUAGAAGUUAAUUUUGUUCUAAUCUAACGGUACUUAUUUGUUCAAUAUACGAUCCAACGGAUGAUAAGCUUUUGGACCAUGUGACCAUGCGACCAAAUUAUCUCCCUUACGCUUAUUAUAUAUAAGUAUAUAAU